rnacentral:rRNA from 1 species
UACGUAGGGUGCAAGCGUUGUCCGGAAUUAUUGGGCGUAAAGAGCUCGUAGGCGGUUCGUCGCGUCGGCUGUGAAAACCCGGAGCUCAACUCCGGGCCUGCAGUCGAUACGGGCGGACUUGAGUGUUGCAGGGGAGACUGGAAUUCCUGGUGUAGCGGUGAAAUGCGCAGAUAUCAGGAGGAACACCGGUGGCGAAGGCGGAUCUCUGGGCCAUUACUGACGCUGAGAAGCGAAAGCAUGGGGAGCGAACAGG